UACGUAGGUGGCAAGCGUUGUCCGGAAUCAUUGGGCGUAAAGCGCGUGUAGGCGGCUCGGUAAGUCCGCUCUGAAAGUCCAGGGCUCAACCCUGGGAUGCGGGUGGAUACUGUCGGGCUCGAGUCCGGAAGAGGCGAGUGGAAUUCCUGGUGUAGCGGUGAAAUGCGCAGAUAUCAGGAGGAACACCAAUGGCGAAGGCAGCUCGCUGGGACGUGACUGACGCUGAGACGCGAAAGCGUGGGGAGCAAACAGG
rnacentral:rRNA from 1 species